rnacentral:rRNA from 1 species
UUUAUGUUGUGAUUUUAGUAAAAAUUUAGGAAAAUUUGAUUUUAGUUUGGUAAAAUUAUUUAGUAAAGACAGGUACUUAAUAAAAGGUACUGUUUAAUAUUUUUUAAUUUAUGAAUAAAGUUUAUUUUUAUCACAAGCAAAAAAUAUGCCAGCAGCUGCGGUUAUUUAUUUUGUCAGGUUUAAUUGGAGAGAUUUUUAGAAAAAAUAUUGCUAAAAAAAAAGUAAAAUUUUUUAUUUUUAUUUUUUUUUCUUUUUGUUUUCAAAAAAAAUAGUUUAUUAAAACCAAGAUUAGAUACCUUGUUAUUUAAUCUAAAAUUUAGAAUAGUAUUUUAAAAAAUUAAAAAAUUUGGCGGUAAUAAAAAAAUUAGAGGGGCUUGUAAUUUGAUAAGAAAAUACACUUUUAUUUUAUUUUUUUUUUGUUUCUAUAUGGUCAUUGCUAUUUAUUUAAAAUAAGAAAAAAAUUAAGAAUAGUUUUCUCUAUUUAGAUCCUUAUAGAGCUAUAAAAAUAAAAUCUAUUAGCCACAAGUUUUUAUUUGUUUUAAAGUAAUCGAAUACUAGAAGGAAUGGAUUUAAAAGUAAUUUUAUAGAUGUUAAUAAUAUGAAUUUUUUUUUAUUAUGCACAUAUCGCCCGUCAUUCUUACUUUUAAGUAAGAGAAGUCGUAACAUAGUGAAACUAUCGGAAGAU